rnacentral:rRNA from 1 species
UGAGGAAUAUUGGGCAAUGCCCGCAAGGGUGACCCAGCAACGCCGCGUGGAGGAUGAAUGUCGUAAGAUUGUAAACUCCUGUUAGAGGGGAAGAAUAGUACCGGUUGGACCGGUAUAUGACUGUACCCCGAGAAAGCCCCGGCUAACUACGUGCCAGCAGCCGCGGUAAUACGUAGGGGGCAAGCGUUGUCCGGAUUUACUGGGUGUAAGGGCGCGCAGGCGGGAUAAAAAGUCAGUGGUGAAAUCCUACAGCUUAACUGUAGAACUGCCUUUGAUACUUUUAUUCUUGAGUUCGGGAGAGAGAGACGGAAUUCCAGGUGUAGAGGUGAAAUACGUAGAUAUCUGGAAGAACACCAGUUGCGAAGGCGGUCUCUUGGUCCGACACUGACGCUGAGGCGCGAAAGCGUGGGGAGCAAACA